AGUGAACGCUGGCGGUAGGCCUAACACAUGCAAGUCGAACGGCAGCACAGUAAGAGCUUGCUCUUACGGGUGGCGAGUGGCGGACGGGUGAGGAAUACAUCGGAAUCUACUUUUUCGUGGGGGAUAACGUAGGGAAACUUACGCUAAUACCGCAUACGACCUACGGGUGAAAGCAGGGGAUCUUCGGACCUUGCGCGAUUGAAUGAGCCGAUGUCGGAUUAGCUAGUUGGCGGGGUAAAGGCCCACCAAGGCGACGAUCCGUAGCUGGUCUGAGAGGAUGAUCGGCCACACUGGAGCUGAGACACGGUCCAGACUCCUACGGGAGGCAGCAGUGUGGAAUAUUGGACAAUAGGCGCAAGCCUGAUCCAGCCAUACCGCGUGGGUUAAGAAGGCCUUCGGGUUGUAAAGCCCUUUUGUUGGGAAAGAAAAGCAGCAGGUUAAUACCCCGCUGUUCUGACGGUACCCAAAGAAUAAGCACCGGCUAACUUCGUG
rnacentral:rRNA from 1 species